rnacentral:rRNA from 1 species
UACGAAGGGGGCUAGCGUUGCUCGGAAUCACUGGGCGUAAAGGGUGCGUAGGCGGGUUUUUAAGUCAGGGGUGAAAUCCUGGAGCUCAACUCCAGAACUGCCUUUGAUACUGAAGAUCUUGAGUCCGGGAGAGGUGAGUGGAACUGCGAGUGUAGAGGUGAAAUUCGUAGAUAUUCGCAAGAACACCAGUGGCGAAGGCGGCUCACUGGCCCGGUACUGACGCUGAGUGAGCGAAAGCCAGGGGAGCAAACGGG